GACGAACGCUGGCGGCGUGCUUAACACAUGCAAGUCGGACGGGCCCGCUCUCUUUUUUGGGGGUGGGUUGAGUGGCGAACGGGUGAGUAUCACGUGAGUAACCUGCCCCCUGCUCCUGGAUAACUGCUUGAAAGGGCGGCUAAUACGGGGUGUGCCGGCUGGUCCGCAUGGGCCUGGUCGGGAUAGUUUCAUCUUCGGGUGUUUCGGUGGGGGAUGGGCUCGCGGCCUAUCAGCUUGUUGGUGGGGUGAUGGCCCACCAAGGCGGUGACGGGUAGCCGGCCUGAGAGGGUGGGCGGCCACACUGGGACUGAGACACGGCCCAGACUCCUGCGGGAGGCAGCAGUGGGGGGUAUUGCGCAAUGGGCGGAAGCCUGAUGCAGCGACGUCGCGUGAGGGAUGGAGGCCUUCGGGUUGUGAACCUCUUUCUCCGGUGGUGAAGGCCCUGUCCGUUGCGGCGGGGUUGACGGUAGCCGGGUAUGAAGCGCCGGCUAACUACGUG
rnacentral:rRNA from 1 species